UAUUUAAAAUGGGACAGAGGGAGUAGGUAACAAGCUACUAAGAUUAAAAAAAUAAUGAUGAUCAACUUAAGCACUUGCGUAUUAAAUGUGCUCAUUUAACUUCAACGGAAGAUUUUAAUUAUACAAGGUGUUCAACUUAUGUGUGUGUAAUUUAUACAAUUAAAUUAUUUAUAAGUUAAUUAAUGGAGUAUAAUAUUUUU
rnacentral:lncRNA from 1 species